rnacentral:rRNA from 1 species
UGGGGAAUAUUGCGCAAUGGAGGGAACUCUGAUGCAGCGACGCCGCGUGAGUGAUGAAGGAAUUCGUUUCGUAAAACUCUGUUCUAUGGGAAGAAAAGGACUGUACCAUAGGAGAAAGCUCCGGCUAAAUACGUGCCAGCAGCCGCGGUAAUACGUAUGGAGCGAGCGUUGUCCGGAAUUAUUGGGCGUAAAGGGUGCGCAGGCGGCUUUACAAGUUGGAUGUGAAAUAUUGUGGCUCAACCACAAACGUGCAUCCAAAACUGCAAAGCUUGAGUUAAGGAGAGGUAAGUGGAAUUCCUGGUGUAGCGGUGGAAUGCGUAGAUAUCAGGAGGAAUACCGGUGGCGAAGGCGACUUACUGGACUUAAACUGACGCUCAGGCACGAAAGCGUGGGGAGCAAACAGG